AGGCCCUUCGGGGUACUCGAGUGGCGAACGGGUGAGUAACACGUGGGUGAUCUGCCCUGCACUUUGGGAUAAGCCUGGGAAACUGGGUCUAAUACCGAAUAUGAUCAUCGGCUUCAUGGUCGGUGGUGGAAAGCUUUUGCGGUGUGGGAUGGGCCCGCGGCCUAUCAGCUUGUUGGUGGGGUAAUGGCCUACCAAGGCGACGACGGGUAGCCGGCCUGAGAGGGUGACCGGCCACACUGGGACUGAGAUACGGCCCAGACUCCUACGGGAGGCAGCAGUGGGGAAUAUUGCACAAUGGGCGCAAGCCUGAUGCAGCGACGCCGCGUGAGGGAUGACGGCCUUCGGGUUGUAAACCUCUUUCAGCACAGACGAAGCGCAAGUGACGGUAUGUGCAGAAGAAGGACCGGCCAACUACGUGCCAGCAGCCGCGGUAAUACGUAGGGUCCGAGCGUUGUCCGGAAUUACUGGGCGUAAAGAGCUCGUAGGUGGUUUGUCGCGUUGUUCGUGAAAACUCACAGCUUAACUGUGGGCGUGCGGGCGAUACGGGCAGACUAGAGUACUGCAGGGGAGACUGGAAUUCCUGGUGUAGCGGUGGAAUGCGCAGAUAUCAGGAGGAACACCGGUGGCGAAGGCGGGUCUCUGGGCAGUAACUGACGCUGAGGAGCGAAAGCGUGGGGAGCGAACAGGAUUAGAUACCCUGGUAGUCCACGCCGUAAACGGUGGGUACUAGGUGUGGGUUUCCUUCCUUGGGAUCCGUGCCGUAGCUAACGCAUUAAGUACCCCGCCUGGGGAGUACGGCCGCAAGGCUAAAACUCAAAGGAAUUGACGGGGGCCCGCACAAGCGGCGGAGCAUGUGGAUUAAUUCGAUGCAACGCGAAGA
rnacentral:rRNA from 1 species